UGAACAAUUUNACGGCCGCGGUACCCUAACCGUGCAAAGGUAGCACAAUCACUUGUCUAUUAAUUGUAGACCUGUAUGAAAGGCAAAACGAGGGCCUAUCUGUCUCUUGUAGUAAAUCAAUUAAACUGAUCUCCCAGUCCAAAAGCUGGGAUACCAACAUAAGACCAGAAGACCCUGUGAAGCUUAAACUAAACUAUUAAAUCCUAUAAUAGCUCCUUUCGGUUGGGGCGACCCUGGAAAAAAAAAGAACUUCCAAACAUACUGACUUUAUACUCACCAACCCAGGCCAACAAGCCUAACAACGACCCAGCACAGCUGAUAACUGAACCAAGUUACUCCAGGGAUAACAGCGCUAUCUUCUUCAAGAGCCCAUAUCAAAAAGAAGGUUUACGACCUCGAUGUUGGAUCAGGACAUCCUAAUGGUGCAGCCGCUAUUAAGGGUUCGUUUGUUCAACGAUUAACAGUCCCACGUGAUCUGA
rnacentral:rRNA from 1 species